rnacentral:rRNA from 1 species
CACGGGGGGAGCAAGCGUUGUUCGGAAUCACUGGGCGUAAAGGGCGUGUAGGCGGUCAAGUAAGUGGAAUGUGAAAGCCCCCGGCUUACCCGGGGAUCUGCAUCCCAAACUGCUUGGCUUGAGUACGGGAGAGGAUAGGGGAAUUCCUGGUGUAGCGGUGAAAUGCGUAGAUAUCAGGAGGAACACCGGUGGCGAAGGCGGGUCUCUGGGCCGAUACUGACGCUGAGAAGCGAAAGCGUGGGGAACGUACAGG